AGCAGCCGCGGUAAUUCCAGCUCCAAUAGCGUAUAUUAAAGUUGUUGCAGUUAAAAAGCUCGUAGUUGAAUUUCGGGGUUCUACCAUUGGUCGGGCUACCCAGUCUGUACUGGUGUGUAGAAUUUCUACCUUCUGGGAACCAUCAUGUUAUUAAUUUAGCGUGGUGGGAAACCAGGACCUUUACCUUGAAAAAAUUAGAGUGUUCAAAGCAGGCUUACGUCUGAAUACAUUAGCAUGGAAUAAUAAAAUAGGACGGUGGUCCUGUUUUGUUGGUUUCUGAAUCACCGUAAUGAUUAAUAGGGAUAGUUGGGGGCAUUAGUAUUCAAUUGUCAGAGGUGAAAUUCUUGGAUUUAUUGAAGACUAACUUCUGCGAAAGCAUUUGCCAAGGAUGUUUUCAUUAAUCAAGAACGAAAGUUAGGGGAUCGAAGACGAUCAGAUACCGUCGUAGUCUUAACCAUAAACUAUGCCGACUAGGGAUCGGACGAUGUUAACUUUUAUUGACUCGUUCGGCGCCUUACG
rnacentral:rRNA from 1 species